rnacentral:rRNA from 1 species
AUACCCUUUCCUGCGGAAUAGCUCCGGGAAACUGGAAUUAAUACCGCAUACGCCCUACGGGGGAAAGAUUUAUCGGGGAAGGAUUGGCCCGCGUUGGAUUAGCUAGUUGGUGGGGUAAAGGCCUACCAAGGCGACGAUCCAUAGCUGGUCUGAGAGGAUGAUCAGCCACGUUGGGACUGAGACACGGCCCAAACUCCUACGGGAGGCAGCAGUGGGGAAUAUUGGACAAUGGGCGCAAGCCUGAUCCAGCCAUGCCGCGUGAGUGAUGAAGGCCUUAGGGUUGUAAAGCUCUUUCACCGGAGAAAAUAAUGACGGUUUCCGGAGAAAAAGCCCCGGCUAACUUCGUGCCAGCAGCCGCGGUAAUACGAAGGGGGCUACCGUUGUUCGGAAUUACUGGGCGUAAACCCCACGUAGGCGAAAUAUUUAAG